rnacentral:rRNA from 1 species
UACAGAGGUCCCGAGCGUUGUUCGGAUUCAUUGGGCGUAAAGGGUGCGUAGGUGGCGCUGUAAGUGGGGUGUGAAAUCCCGGGGCUUAACCCCGGGACUGCAUUCCAUACUGCGGUGCUUGAGGACUGGAGAGGAGACUGGAAUUUACGGUGUAGCAGUGAAAUGCGUAGAUAUCGUAAGGAAGACCAGUGGCGAAGGCGGGUCUCUGGACAGUUCCUGACGCUGAGGCACGAAGGCCAGGGGAGCAAACGGG